GUGAGAGCAGCAGCCAGCUUCCUUUGAGAAUCAAUUAGCAGCCAAAUAACUCCGCAGACUCCUGGAAUGAUACAAGUCCGCUGUAUUUCCCCAGGUUACCUGCAGCAAGGUACAAUACUGAUGCCUGCCGAGUGCAUUUCGGUCACAGUGGCAAGGCAUUUGGAGUAAGCAAAGGAAAAGUUGUCAGAGAGAUGGCUCAACAGUUAAGAGUGCUUGCUGUUCUUCGAGAGGACCAAAGUCCAGUUCCCAGCAUUAAGGUCUGGAAGCUCACAACUACCUAAAAAUUUCAGCUUCUGUCAGAUCCAGUGCCCUCUUCCAGCCU